GCCUUCGUGGUGUAGUGGUCAGCACGCUCGACGCGUAUUCGACAGGUCCGUGGUUCGAAUCCCGGCCAGGGCA
rnacentral:tRNA from 1 species